GAUGAACGCUGGCGGCAUGCCUAAGACAUGCAAGUCGAACGGAGGGACCCAAUGAUGUUUUAUGAAGUUUUGAGAGCUUGCUCGAUGAAUGGAUUAAAAUGGAUUUGGAUCAUCCCUCAGUGGCAAACGGGUGAGUAACACGUGGGUCACCUACCCUCAAGUUGGGGACAACAGUUGGAAACGAUUGCUAAUACCGAAUGUGAUCUACGGAUUAAAGAGCCUUUAAAGCUUCGCUUGAGGAUGGGCCUGCGGUGCAUUAGCUAGUUGGUGGGGUAAUGGCCUACCAAGGCGACGAUGCAUAGCCGAACUGAGAGGUUAAUCGGCCACAUUGGGACUGAGACNCGGACCCAAACUCCUACGGGAGACAGCAGGUGGGG
rnacentral:rRNA from 1 species